GUAGAUAGAUAUGCAGAGGAAAUCAUGUUGAACUAGAUUGGAGGUAGAUAGAUAUGCAGAGGAAAUCAUGUUGAACUAGAUUGGAGGUAGAUAGAUAUGCAGAGGAAAUCAUGUUGAACUGGAUUGGAGGUAGAUAGAUAUGCAGAGGAAAUCAUGUUGAACUGGAUUGGAGGUAGAUAGAUAUGCAGAGGAAAUCAUGAUGAACUGGAUUGGAGGUAGAUAGAUAUGCAGAGGAAAUCAUGAUGAACUGGAUUGGAGGUAGAUAGAUAUGCAGAGGAAAUCAUGAUGAACUGGAUUGGAGGUAGAUAGAUAUGCAGAGGAAAUCAUGUUGAACUAGAUUGGAGGUAGAUAGAUAUGCAGAGGAAAUCAUGUUGAACUGGAUUGGAGGUAGAUAGAUAUGCAGAGGAAAUCAUGUUGAACUAGAUUGGAGGUAGAUAGAUAUGCAGAGGAAAUCAUGCUGAACUAGAUUGGAGGUAGAUAGAUAUGCAGAGGAAAUUAUGAUGAACUAGAUUGGAGGUAGAUAGAUAUGCAGAGGAAAUCAUGUUGAACUGGAUUGGAGGUAGAUAGAUAUGCAGAGGAAAUCAUGAUGAACUGGAUUGGAGGUAGAUAGAUAUGCAGAGGAAAUCAUAUUGAACUGGAUUGGAGGUAGAUAGAUAUGCAGAGGAAAUUAUGUUGAACUAGAUUGGAGGUAGAUAGAUAUGCAGAGGAAAUCAUGUUGAACUAGAUUGGAGGUAGAUAGAUAUGCAGAGGAAAUCAUGUUGAACUAGAUUGGAGGUAGAUAGAUAUGCAGAGGAAAUCAUGUUGAACUAGAUUGGUAUGGUUAAUUUCGAAGGGUGGGUGGGAGAGGGAGUGUUUGAAGGCUGUCGUAGUGAGAUAGAUAGAUAAAUAAAAAAGGUAUGUAGAGGAAUAUAUGUAGAACGAAAUGGCUGAAGAGAUAUGGGUAAGUUAAAACAGGAAGGGAUGAAAGCUAGAUAGAAGAACAGACAUACGUAGAUAGUUGCACUUUGGAGUUGAUGUAGAAGUAGAUAGAUAGAUCAGGUUGUUACAUAAAUGAACAGAAAGGUGGAUGGUCAGAGGAUUUUUUUUUUUAUUAUUUUUUUUUUACAACAAAGGAGACAGCUCAAGGGCACAAAAAAAGAAACAAUAAUAAAAAAAGCCCGCUAGACAGUAAUAAAAAAAAAGCCCGCUAAUAAAGAAAAGGAUUCAGAAGAUUGGUAAAAAGUUGAAAUUAAGUUAGAUAUAAGAAUAGAUGGAUAGAUGUGGAGAGGAGUAGAUACAUAAAUAGAUAGGCUAAUAGAUAACAUGAUAGAUCGAGAACAUACAUAGAUAGAUUGGAUAGGUAUUGAUUUAGAAGUACAUAAGUAAAUAGAUGACAGGUAGCAGAUCAAGAACAGACAUAGAUAGAUCGGAUAGGUAUUGAUUUAGAAGUACAUAAGUAAAUAGAUGACAGGUAGCUUCUUAUAAUAAAAAAAAAAAACAUUACAGGUAGAUAAGUAGAUAGUGAAUAAUGAUAAUGAUAAUAGUUACCUUGAUCCACAGUAGAUAAUUUGGAUAGGUUAGUUGAAUAAAGGGAUAAACAAUAAUAGGUAAAAAAUCUAUCCUAUUUAUAUGUAAAGUUGUAGUAGUAAUAGUAGUAGUAGUAGUAGUAGUAGUAGUAGUAGUAGUAGUAGUAGUAGUUAUGUUUUUCACCGUGUAGGGAAAUAUGCUGACAGGGAAAGGUUAGGUAUAAACAAAAAAACAUAAAUAUUAGUAAAGGUGGUGGUGGUGGUGUUGUUCUUCCUGGUAGUGGUGGUGAUGAUGGUGGUGGUGACGCUGGUGAUGAUGGUGUUGUUCCUGGUAGUGGUGGUGGUGAUGGUGGUAGUAGUGAUGACGAUGGUGGUGGUGGUGGUGACGCUGGUGAUGAUGGUGUUGUUCCUUGUGGUGGUGAGGUGGGAUUCCUGGAACACACACACACACACACACACACACACACACCACCACCACCACGCCAGGAUCACGUGAGGGUUGCCUACAAAAACGCACCCACCCCCUCAACUCCCCCUCUCUCACCCACUCCCUCCCUCCCUCCCUCCCUC